rnacentral:rRNA from 1 species
UGGCGAGUGGCGAACGGGUGAGUAAUACAUCGGAACGUGUCCUGUAGUGGGGGAUAGCCCGGCGAAAGCCGGAUUAAUACCGCAUACGCUCUACGGAGGAAAGGGGGGGAUCUUAGGACCUCCCGCUACAGGGGCGGCCGAUGGCAGAUUAGCUAGUUGGUGGGGUAAAGGCCUACCAAGGCGACGAUCUGUAGCUGGUCUGAGAGGACGACCAGCCACACUGGGACUGAGACACGGCCCAGACUCCUACGGGAGGCAGCAGUGGGGAAUUUUGGACAAUGGGGGCAACCCUGAUCCAGCAAUGCCGCGUGUGUGAAGAAGGCCUUCGGGUUGUAAAGCACUUUUGUCCGGAAAGAAAACGCCGUGGUUAAUACCCGUGGCGGAUGACGGUACCGGAAGAAUAAGCACCGGCUAACUACGUGCCAGC